rnacentral:sRNA from 1 species
CCCCUCUACGGUCUCAGCAGCUGGCCCCACAGUACACCUACGCCCAGGGCGGCCAGCAGACUUGGGCCCCGGAGAGGCCCUUGGUGGGUGUCAAUGGGCUGGAUGUGACCAGCCUGAGGCCCUUUGACCUUGUCAUCCCCUUCACCAUCAAGAAGGGCGAGAUCACAGGGGAGGUUCGGAUGCCCUCAGGCAAGGUGGCGCAGCCCACCAUCACUGACAACAAAGACGGCACCGUGACCGUGCGGUAUGCACCCAGCGAGGCUGGCCUGCACGAGAUGGACAUCCGCUAUGACAACAUGCACAUCCCAGGUGGGCCUGCCCUGCCUCUGCCCACUCCACCGCCACCACCUCACAGAGAGAUGGGGCUGGGGGACACACGAGGCUGCCAUUCCACAAGGCCCUUCUUCCUGCCUCAGGAAGCCCCUUGCAG